GAUGAAGAACGCAGCGAAAUGCGAUAAGUAAUGUGAAUUGCAGAAUUCAGUGAACCAUCGAAUCUUUGAACGCACAUUGCGCCCGGCAGUAAUCUGCCGGGCAUGCCUGUCCGAGCGUCAUUUCUGCCCUCGAGCGAGUCCAGCAUCUAGGUGCUGGGCCCGCCCGGCGUUGGGGCACUACGGGAAGCCCUGUGCUGUCCCCCGUAGGCCCCGAAAUGAAGUGGCGGUCCUGCCGCGGCGCCCCCUGCGUAGUAUAACAGCUCGCUUCGGGACCCGGUGGAGGCCUGCCGUCAAACCUUACUCUCUAAGUUUGACCUCGGAUCAGGUAGGGUUACCCGCUGAACUUAAGCAUAUCAAUAGCGGAGGA
rnacentral:misc_RNA from 1 species